rnacentral:lncRNA from 1 species
UUCAUAGUCUGUCUCUCUCUCUCUCUCUCUCUCUCUCUCUCUCUCUGUGUGUGUGUGUAUGUGUGUGUGUCCGUGUGCGUGCAUAUGUGUGUGUAUGUGCAUAUAUGUGUGUUUUAGAAAUACCCAAAUUUGCCAUGCGGUUUCUCAUCGUCCUCUAUGCCGUGUUUGUCCUCAGCUUGGCAACAGGUGUGGUUAAUGGAGCUCCUCGCUUAGCAGGGCUGUCUAAAAUGACAGACACCGUGACUGAUGACCUGACCAAAAGUGAAGACGCUACCUCUGACUCUUCAGUGGGGAAGCAGGAGGAAGAAAUGGACGACGCCCUUGGUUUUGACGACGAGGCAGCUGAGAUGGAAGAAGCUCCUGCAGACACUCCAGAGCCUGCUGAGUUUGAAGAGGAAGUGACUGAUGCUCCUGCUGAGGAUGAACUUGAUGAAACUGCAGAGGAAACUGACUUUGACACAGCUGAGUCUCGCGAUGGCGCUGCAGAGACCGUCACUCUGGAGGAGACUUAUGCUGACAUUGCAGUGACAGAGUUUGAAGAGGAGCCGGCUAAUGUGUCUGCUGAGGAGCCAACUGAAGAAGCAUGGAACUAAGGAGAUCAUGGAAUUAUUCUGCAAAUUCACCUGUGCUUAUAGCAAGGCUAAAUGUUACCAUACAUGUACAAAAUGUAUUCAUACAUGUACAUGUAUUCAUUUUGGGCCAUUAUGUGUGCGCUAUAUCUUAACUGUAGAAAAAGCCAAACUUCUAUUGUGUUAAGGGUACUUAACUAGGUAAAAGGGGAACUAUUUUGAGUAAAUAUUAAAUAUACUAAUAUACUAUGAAUAUGGAUUUUCAAUAACACUCUGUAUAUUUAAAGUAGAGUUUUGAGAACAUGUAACACUACAAAAGGGGAACUUUUUAAGGACACUUGAAAUAUACUAUUCAUGUAGUUUUUCUCGUCAUUGUAUGUACACCUACACUUGAAUUAAAAAACACUUAUGUCUCAUUCAUAUUGCUAUGUAUUUCACUUUUUUCACAAUAAAGGCUCUUCUUCUUCCA